UACGUAGGGAGCAAGCGUUGUCCGGAAUCAUUGGGCGUAAAGCGCGCGUAGGUGGCUCUGUAAGUCCGUUGUGAAAGUCAAAGGCUCAACCUUUGAAAGCCGAUGGAUACUGCAGAGCUAGAGUACGGAAGAGGCGAGUGGAAUUCCUGGUGUAGCGGUGGAAUGCGCAGAUAUCAGGAGGAACACCAAUUGCGAAGCAGCUCGCUGGACGUUACUGACGCUGAGACGCGAAAGCGUGGGGAGCAAACAGG
rnacentral:rRNA from 1 species